GUAAGAUGAAUCUACGGUUAUUUGCAGUUAGUUAAUCACCGGGAUUGCAUCUUUCGA
rnacentral:pre_miRNA from 1 species